GAUCCUGGCUCAGGAUGAACGCUGGCGGCGUGCCUAAUACAUGCAAGUCGAACGCUUUGUAAAGGAGCUUGCUUCUUUACGAGGAGUGGCGAACGGGUGAGUAAUACAUAAGCAAUCUGCCCAUCGGCCUGGGAUAACAGUUGGAAACGGCUGCUAAUACCGGAUAGGUUAGUCUUUGGCAUCAGGGACUAAUUAAAGUUGGGAUACAACACGGAUGGAUGAGCUUAUGGCGUAUUAG
rnacentral:rRNA from 1 species